rnacentral:lncRNA from 1 species
GGUGAGGUCAAAAAAGACAAGGAGGGGAAAGAAAGAGUUGUAAAGAAAUUCAUUGAAGGCAGACAUCGGGAGGUUGAAGUCACCCAGUACGAAGAGCGGUGAGCCGUCGUCAGGGAAUGAGCUUAUCAAGGUGUCAAUCUCAUUGAGAAACUCUCUAAGGGCAACUGGUGGGCGAUAUAUGACAACAAUGUUAAGCUUGAGUGGACAAGUGACAGUGACAGCAUGGAAUUCAAAUAAGGCGAUGGACAGAGUAAAGGGUCUCCUACAAUUCACAGGACGAAGACUACCCACACCCAUCUUCAGCUGCCUAGUAGAUAAAACCCAGCCUUGUGCUGAAUGACACUGCAGAAGACUGCUGUGGUGAAAGGGGGUUCUUUCUUGUGGGUCUCUUCUCCAAAUGCUCUACAUAAAUUCACGCAGCAGCAUUCUAGGGAGCUUACCUGGGGGGACCGACCAGAGGACU